rnacentral:rRNA from 1 species
UACGGGGGGAGCAAGCGUUGUUCGGAUUUACUGGGCGUAAAGGGCGCGUAGGCGGCCUCCGCAAGUCAGUUGUGAAAUCUCCGAGCUUAACUCGGAAAGGUCAACUGAUACUGCGGGGCUAGAGUGCGGAAGGGGCAACUGGAAUUCUUGGUGUAGCGGUGAAAUGCGUAGAUAUCAAGAGGAACACCUGCGGCGAAGGCGGGUUGCUGGGCCGACACUGACGCUGAGGCGCGAAAGCGUGGGGAGCGAACAGG